rnacentral:lncRNA from 1 species
AAACUUUCCUGCUGAGACCAGAGCAUAUGUCAUGAAUUUGCUCUGGCUUUAGUAUCCUUCAUUUCCUAAUCUCCUUGGAGCACCAGCAAAUGAGACUUAAAUUUAAAUCUAAUAAGCUAAACAGGUAUUUCCAUCUUAAAUUCCUAGGGCCAGCUUCACGAAAUUGUAGAGGAGAGGUUCCUUGCAUAUCAUUUGAUCUUCUCUCAGCAGAGUUGGCCGGUCAUGCCAUCCUGAGUUUCAGGAAAGAACCACGUGAAGAAGAAGG